rnacentral:rRNA from 1 species
AGCGAACGCUGGCGGCAGGCUUAACACAUGCAAGUCGAGCGCCGUAGCAAUACGGAGCGGCAGACGGGAGAGUAACACGUGGGAACGUACCCCUCGGUUCGGAAUAACUCAGGGAAACUUGAGCUAAUACCGGAUACGUCGGCAACGAGAAAGAUUUAUCGCCGAGGGAUCGGCCCGCGCCCGAUUAGCUAGUUGGUGGGGUAAUGGCCCACCAAGGCGACGAUCGGUAGCUGGUCUGAGAGGAUGAUCAGCCUCACUGGGACUGAGACACGGCCCAGACUCCUACGGGAGGCAGCAGUGGGGAAUAUUGGACAAUGGGCGCAAGCCUGAUCCAGCCAUGCCGCGUGGGUGAUAAGGCCUUAGGGUUGUAAAGCCCUUUCGGCGGGGAAGAUAAUGACGGUACCCGCAGAAGAAGCCCCGGCUAACUUCGUGCCAGCCGCCGCCGUAAUAC